CGGAUGUAUUGGCAGGAACAAACAACUCCAGGUGUGUUGCCUUAAGAACUCUAACACUCACCACGGAGGUUUGUAGCUUCACUCGUGAACCAGCGAUACCAUGAACCCCCCAGAAGGCAGAAAUUGCUAACAUAUCUGCAUAUAGGAAGGAACAAACGGGGCGCGCUCCCGCACACGCCGCCUUUAAGAAGCUGCACCAUUCUCUGCAAGGGUCCACUGCUUUAUUCUGUGAGUAAGACUAAGAACCCAGUAAUGGCGGACACGUGGGGAUUCAGAGGAGCGCAGGACGGAUUCUGAAUGCUGUUGCUCGGGAAGCUGAAGAUGUGCACACAGGGCUUCUCCGCAGUAAGGGGCUUGGUCCCUGAACCAUGCUCCGUUUCUUAACUGUUCCCAGGACCCAGCGUCUGUUCACCCCAUGGGGCCACGCCAUUCCAGGAGCCACAGGAAGCCAGCACUGCUAGGUUGACCUCAGUCCUUUAGCCAGGACACAGCUGUGGGCACUAUGCGGUUGCCGCUGGGUUCAAGAUGCGACGGUAUGAGGGAGUUGGGUGGGCCGCUGACUCUGAGAGAAGUCCCGGUGACCUGAACCUAUUCCAGUGAAGCCAGUCAGCAGUGAAUGUGGGGCAAGUGCAUGCGGCUGGUCUACAGCUCCCAUUGCCUGGUGACCAAGGAGCAUCCUGAAGUUUCAGAGAAGAGACUGUGUGACAGCAGCAUUGUUCCAGCUACUGAGCAAGAUCCUUCAGCAGGAGCUCUUCCAGUAACCUGCAGGACGGAGACACUUGUUUUACAGCCCGACAGAUGGGGCGGCCUAGCAACGCAAGAAAACACCAGGGGAGCCAGUGCCCGGCUCUGCCUGGGCUUGCUGUGUGGAGAAGGCAGCUGAAAAGUUCUACCUAUGGAUCCUUAACUCAGCAAAAGAAACACAUCAAAGAAGUUGAUCAAAUAGGAUAUACUGAUAACGUAUUUAUGUUUGUACAGAAACAUCUCCUUCCUAUCCCCUCCCAAGAUUAGAUUCCUCCCUAAUACAGACUGAUGUUUGGGCCUAUUCUUUUUUAGAAAUUCAACUCUAAAAUAAUUUACACACCUUCAAAUUCACUUUUUGUUAGAUGGUUCUAUGAACGCUGGCAAAGCCAUACCGGAGUGUAACAGGCUACAGCACGUGGCAUGGCUGCACCCUUUCCCCUGCUGCCCCUCUAGUCAGCCUCUUCCCUAACCCCAUCUCCCAGCAGCCACUGCUGACUUUCCCUUCCUCUCAUUUUGUAUUAACAGGUAUUAGAGAGUGGGGAGCGAAAGCAGUGAGUUAACCACCAGGGCAAGCAGGGUUAGGGGCUAAUUCCACUAGGCAAAUCGCUUUGCUGCCUGAUAUCGCAAUCUGUUUCCCCAACUGAUGUGAUACAGUCAUCUAAUUUUUUUUCUUUUUUUCAGAUGGAGUUUUGCUCUGUCGCCCAGGCUGGAGUGCAGUGGCGCGAUUUCGGCUCACUGCAACCUCCACCUCCCGGAUUCAAGCAAUUCUCCUGCCUCAGCCUCCUGAGUAGCUGAAACUACAGGUGCCCGCCACCACACCCGGCUAAUUUUUGUAUUUUUAGUAGAGACGGGGUUUUACCAUGUUGGCCAGGAUGGUCUUGAUUUCCUGAAGUCGUGAUCCGCCCACCUCAGCCUCCCAAAGUGCUGGGAUUACAGGCAUGAGCCACUGCGCCCGGCCCAAGUCAUCUAAUUUUUAAAGCUAGGAAGGAUCUUAGAGUUUUCCUGGUUUGGAUGCAGCAACCAAGAACUGGGUUUAACAGUACUGAGGUCAAGAGAUUAUUUCACGGUUUAACAAUGUUCAAUAUUAGAAUGCUAUCCCCACAGCAAAUCUAAAAUAUAGUCCUGACCUGGGGCCAUUUCAGGGUGUGUAUUGUUCGUGACACACUACCUUUUGAGCCCUGUUCCACAUAUGAAACGUAGCAGUGACUGUUUCAAUCUUUUAUCAUAUUUAUUUUAAAGAAAUGAACAGGGUUUGGAACCAAUUCAAAUAGAGGAUGGAAGUUAGAGAAGCAGCAAGAAAAAGGAAGAAAGGGCUGAUUGUGCAGGCACUGUCUGCACAGCUGCCAUGUGCCCACGUGGGAUGCGUGCGGGGCGGGGCGGCGAUGCCCCCGGGGACUGAUGGUGGAAGGGCUGGUCUGCUGCCUGCUCUGUGCGUCGAUGCCAUGUGACAGCUCCCCCCCAUGGCCCAGCCUAUGUGAUCUCUCUGCCCUGCACUGAGUCUGCACUGCAUUCACGGUGCCAGCAUUUCAGUCAGUGCACCACAUGUGCCUGUCUAUGGGCCCGGCAGCCACGUGCAGGGCGGGUGGUGAAGGAAUGAAGACUGCCUCAGCUCGGGGGAGCCUGGGCAUUUAUGAAAUUUACCUGGCCUAGAUUUUCUCUUAGGUCCGUUUCCUG
rnacentral:lncRNA from 1 species